rnacentral:rRNA from 1 species
AGCAGCCGCGGUAAUUCCAGCUCCAAUAGCGUAUAUUAAAGUUGCUGCAGUUAAAAAGCUCGUAGUUGAAUUUCGGGAUCAAUAUGUUGGUCGUGCCUUGGUACGUGCUAGCUCAUUGGUUUCUCCCUUCUGACGAACCAUGAUGUCAUUAAUUUGAUGUCAUGGGGAAUCAGGACUGUUACUUUGAAAAAAUUAGAGUGUUUAAAGCAGGCUCGCGCUUGAAUACAUUAGCAUGGAAUAAUGAAAUAGGACAUUUGAUUCUAUUCUGUUGGUUUCUAGGAUCGAUGUAAUGAUUAAUAGGGAUAGUUGGGGGCAUUAGUAUUCAAUUGUCAGAGGUGAAAUUCUUGGAUUUUAUUGAAGACUAACUACUGCGAAAGCAUUUGCCAAGGAUGUUUUCAUUAAUCAAGAACGAAAGUUAGGGGAUCGAAGACGAUCAGAUACCGUCGUAGUCUUAACCAUAAACUAUGCCGACUAGGGAUCGGAUGAUGUUAAUUUUU